CUGCGAGUGGCGAGCUGGGCAGAGCCCUGGGGGCGCGGCGCUGCCGCCUUCGGGUCUCCGCUCCGUGUGUGCGCCCUGCACUUACGGAUCCCUCCCUCAGUGCCCCGGUACUCACAAGCUUCUCGGCCCCUGACCUUCGCCCUGGGAGGUUCUGGCCAGGUGCCAGGAGGGGCGCUGUGUCGAGGGCGAGCCCUCCAAAGCAGCGUCCCGUGCUGAAGGUACUGCUUAGGAUGAAUAUGAUUUGGAGAAAUUCCAUUUCCUGUCUAAGGCUAGGAAAGGUGCCACACAGAUACCAAAGUGGUUAUCACCCAGUGGCCCCUCUGGGAUCAAGGAUUUUAACUGACCCAGCCAAAGUUUUUGAACACAACAUGUGGGAUCACAUGCAGUGGUCUAAGGAAGAAGAAGCAGCAGCCAGAAAAAAAGUAAAGGAAAACUCAGCUGUGCGAGUCCUUCUGGAAGAGCAAGUUAAGUAUGAGAGAGAAGCUAGUAAAUACUGGGACACAUUUUACAAGAUUCAUAAGAAUAAGUUUUUCAAGGAUCGUAAUUGGCUGUUGAGGGAAUUUCCUGAAAUUCUUCCAGUUGAUCAAAAACCUGAAGAGAAGGCGAGAGAAUCAUCAUGGGAUCAUGUAAAAACUAGUGCUACAAAUUGUUUCUCAAGAAUGCACUGUCCUACUGUGCCUGAAGAAAAAAAUCAUUAUGAGGAAAGUUCUGGCUCUUCGGAAGGUCAAAGCAAAACAGAAUCUGAUUUUUCCAACCUAGACUCUGAAAAACACAAAAAAGGACCUAUGAAGACUGGAUUAUAUCCUGGUAGCAAUGCCACUUUCAGGAUACUAGAGGUUGGUUGUGGAGCUGGAAAUAGUGUGUUUCCAAUUUUGAACACUUUGCAGAACUCUCCAGAGUCCUUUCUGUAUUGUUGUGAUUUUGCUUCUGGAGCUGUAGAGCUCGUAAAGUCACACUCGUCCUACAGAGCAGCCCAGUGUUUUGCCUUUGUUCAUGAUGUAUGUGAUGAUGGCUUACCUUACCCUUUUCCAGAUGGGAUCCUGGAUGUCAUUCUCCUUGUCUUUGUGCUCUCUUCUAUUCAUCCUGACAGGAUGCAAGGUGUUGUAAACCGACUGUCCAAGUUACUGAAACCUGGGGGAAUGCUGUUAUUUCGAGACUAUGGAAGAUAUGAUAAGACUCAGCUUCGUUUUAAAAAGGGACAUUGUUUAUCUGAAAAUUUUUAUGUUCGAGGAGAUGGUACCAGAGCAUAUUUCUUUACAAAAGGGGAACUCCACAGUAUGUUCUGCAAAGCCAGUUUAGAUGAAAAGCAAAAUCUGGUUGAUCGCCGCUUACAAGUUAAUAGGAAAAAACAAGUGAAAAUGCACCGAGUAUGGAUUCAAGGCAAAUUCCAGAAACCAUUGCACCAGACUCAGAAUAGCUCCAAUAUGGUAUCUACACUCCUUUCACAAGACUGAACUUUGUAACAUGUUAAGGUACAAAGCCAGAGGACUGUGCUAUCCAAGGACUACUGUAAGUCUAUCGUUUCUCAAAAGACAAUGAGGAAAAAAGAAGAGAAUUUGUAUUUCCUGCUGUUUUGUCAUAGGUUAUCUGGCCUUUGGACUCUGGAACUUGCACCAGCAGCUUCUUUGGUUUUUAGGCCUUCAGCCUCAGACUGAGAGUUACACUGUUGGCUUCCCUGAUGUGGAAACGUUUGUACUUGGACUGAGCCAUGCCACUGGCUUCUGUGGGUCUCCUGUUUGCAGAUGGCCUAUCAUGGGACUUCUCAGCCUCCAUAAUUCUAUAAUCAAAUGCUUAUUAAGCAUCUACUGUGUGCCAGAAACUGUGCUGCAUACUGAGAAUACUGAAAUGCACGUGGCUGAUGAAAUGAACCCCUGCUCUUUAGAUGCCUGCAGUUCAGGAUAGAUGCCCAUUUGUCUGAAAUGUGGAUGAUUGCAGAAAGGAUGACCUACAAGUGGAUGGUCAGGCCUGGCUGCAAAUGGAUAUCUGAAAGAAAACGGGGAUCCUAGGAAACCCAUCACAGCCCUCUAUGAGCUUCAAAAACCAGCAUGGUUAAUUAUGUCAUUGCCUCUAAGUGAAUGCAGUCCCAGCUAAGGUCCCGGUCAGCAGCCAGCAUUGACCACCAGAAGUGUGAAUGAAUAGGCCUUCAGAUGAUUGCAGCCCCUAUUGUUAAGGCAACCCCAGUCUCCGAGUCUUCCCAGCAGAGGAUUCAGCUACUAUGGAGUCAAGAUAAGUAAUUCCCACUGUACCCUGUCUGGGGUCCUGACACAUGAAGAUUGGAAGUGGUUUGUCACAUAGCAAUAGUAACUGAAACACUUGGAGAGGGACAUCUUUAAGAGAAAUUAAGUUCCCAAUGAGAUUUUAAAGAUGUACUAAUGAAACAAUCAAGUAGAGAUAUCAAGUAGUUAGUUGGACAUGUGAGUGUAAGCAGACUUCUUGGCUGGAGAUAUACCAAUGGCAAACAGCAUAUGGAUGUCAUUUAAUUUCCCAGGCCUGGGUGAGAUCACCUACAGCAGGAGGUGGACAGAGAAGAGGAGCUAGUUCAAGACCUCAUUCUGAGGAAGCCCAGUAUUUAGAGGUAGGGAAGAGAAGGAAGAGCCAGAAAAGGGAAUUGAGACAGGGUGCCCAGGGAGGCAAGAAAAAAAAAAAAAAAACCCAAGAGAAUGGUUUGUCACAAAAGCUGAGAGAGAACAUUAUUUCCAGAACAAAGAGAGCGGUCAACUUUGUGGGAAACUAUUGAGAGUCAAAAAAGAUAAGAGAAAAAUGGUCAUUAGAUUUGGCAGCAAAGAGAUCACUUGAGACCUUGAAAAGAACAAUUUCAGUGGGAGUGGAUGGGGCAGACACAUAAUGGGGGUUUUGAUCUCUCAGGGAAAGAAGAGCAGUCUAUUAUUUCAGAAAAAGUUGGAUCAGCCAUGCUAUAUGCAGCUAGUUUAAGUGAUACUGAAACGACACAAUUUACCUGCUUAGAAAAACAGCAUAAUGUAGCAAACAGCAUAAAUUUUUAGCACCAGACAGAACUGGGUUGAAAUUCUACAGACAAAUUACUUAAACUCAUUAAGGUUCAGUUUGUUUAUCUGUAAACUGCAGAGGAAAAAAGCACUUUUCUUCUAUUCUCCUAGGUUCUGCAGUUAGGAACCUAGAAAUUGAACUGACAAAAGACAGGCUAACAAGAGAAAAACAGAGCUUAUGAAUGUGUGCAAUGCACAUGCAUGUGGGAGAAGCUCAGUGAUGAGUAAAUUGCAGGAGUAGUUGGAACUUGGGGCUUAUGUAGCAUUGUAACAAAGAAUGGUGUAUUUGUAGAGAUGUGGCAAAACAAAGGAAAAGGGGUUUAAGCUUUUGGAGUGACAAAUUGUGGGGAGGUAAAUAUGUGGAGAGAAACUAAUGGAAAAUAGGAGUUACUUUAUUAGGGUUUACUAUGUAGGUACCUUUUGGUGCUAUCUCUGGGCUAGAGUUAUCUCCUUGUCUCUAGUGAUUAUGAGUCUAAGAGUUUCCUCUUCCUGGUAUGCGAGAGAGAGAGAGAGAGAGAGACGCCUUUGCAAAUGUAUUUUUUUAAUUAAAAAAAUUGUUAAUUGCAGAGAUGGGUGUCUCGCUAUAUUGCCCAGACUGGUCUCAAACUCCUGGCCUCAAGUGAUCCUUCUGCUUCGGCCUCCCAAAAUGUUGGGAUUACAGGUGUGAGCCACCAAACCUGGCACAAAUGGAAAUUUACG